CAAUAGCGUAUAUUAAAGUUGUUGCAGUUAAAAAGCUCGUAGUUGGAUUUCUGGUGGGAGCGAUCGGUCUGGCGCUUAGCGCGAGUACUUGCAUCGUCUCCGGCCAUCCUUGGGGAGAGUCUGUCUGGCAUUAGGUUGUCGGGCAGAGGAUCCUCAUCGUUUACUGUGAAAAAAUUAGAGUGUUCAAAGCAGGCUUAUGCCGUUGAAUAUAUUAGCAUGGAAUAAUAAGAUAGGACUUUGGUACUAUUUUGUUGGUUUGCGCACCAAGUAAUGAUUAAUAGGGACAGUUGGGGGUAUUCGUAUUCCGUUGUCAGAGGUGAAAUUCUUGGAUUUACGGAAGACGAACUACUGCGAAAGCAUUUACCAAGGAUGUUUUCAUUAA
rnacentral:rRNA from 1 species